GGACGGUGGCCAUGGAAGUCGGAAUCCGCUAAGGAGUGUGUAACAACUCACCUGCCGAAUGAACUAGCCCUGAAAAUGGAUGGCGCUCAAGCGUACUACCAAUACCUCGCCGCUAGGGUAGAAACGAUGCCCUAGCGAGUAGGCAGGCGUGGAGGCCCGUGACGAAGCCUUGGGGGUGACCCCGGGUAGAACGGCCUCUAGUGCAGAUCUUGGUGGUAGUAGCAAAUACUCAAAUGAGAACUUUGAGGACUGAAGUGGGGAAAGGUUCCGUGUGAACAGCAGUUGGACACGGGUUAGUCGAUCCUAAGCCAUAGGGAAACUCCGUUUUAAAGUGCGCUCUCGGGCGCCGCCUGGCGAAAGGGAAACCGGUUAAUAUUCCGGUACCUCGAUGUGGAUUAUCCGCGGCAACGCAACUGAAGGUGGAGACGUCGGCGGGGGCCCCGGGAAGAGUUCUCUUUUCUUCUUAACUGGCCGUUACCCUGGAAUCGGAUUGCCCGGAGCGAGGGUUCUGCGUCAGGGAAAGCCUCCUAAGUCUUGGGAGGUCCGGUGCGCUUUCGACGGCCCUUGAAAAGCCGGGGGCGCGUUUGAUGUUCUUUCCUGGUCGUACCCAUAACCGCCUCAGGUGUCCCAGGUCAAGAGCCUCUAGUUGAUAGAACAAUGUAG
rnacentral:rRNA from 1 species